GUGCUCAUUUCAGAAGCACAUAUACUACAAUUGAAAUGUUGCAAAGAAGAUUAGCAUGGAUCCUGAACAAAGAUGAUAUGCAAAUUGGUAAAGUGCUCAAUUUUUUG